rnacentral:rRNA from 1 species
CCUACGGGGGGCUGCAGUGGGGAAUAUUGGACAAUGGGGGCAACCCUGAUCCAGCCAUGCCGCGUGUGUGAAGAAGGCCCUCGGGUUGUAAAGCACUUUCAGUGAGGAAGAACGCCUGGUGGUUAAUACCCAUCAGGAAAGACAUCACUCACAGAAGAAGCACCGGCUAACUCCGUGCCAACAGCCGCGGUAAUACGGAGGGUGCGAGCGUUAAUCGGAAUUACUGGGCGUAAAGCGCGCGUAGGUGGCUUGAUAAGCCGGUUGUGAAAGCCCCGGGCUCAACCUGGGAACGGCAUCCGGAACUGUCAAGCUAGAGUGCAGGAGAGGAAGGUAGAAUUCCCGGUGUAGCGGUGAAAUGCGUAGAGAUCGGGAGGAAUACCAGUGGCGAAGGCGGCCUUCUGGACUGACACUGACACUGAGGUGCGAAAGCGUGGGUAGCAAACAGGAUUAGAUACCCCGAUAGUC